CAUGUACUCCCUUCGUCCAAAAAUACUUGUCAUCAAAAUAGACAAAAAAAAAUAUGUAGAACUAAAAUAUAUCUAGAUACAUCUUCUUUUAUUCAUUUUGGUGACAAGUAUUUCCGAACGGAGGGAGUACGUA
rfam:Triticum aestivum genome assembly, contig: Triticum_aestivum_CS42_TGACv1_scaffold_145886_2BS